UGGCAUUGACUUUAUUCUCACAGCAAGCCCAUGAGGUAGUUGAAAAAACAUUAGGGUUCUUCACAAAUGUUUCUGGCCAGAAGUGAAUCCAGGCAUUGCAGGGCUUAAAGCAUAUCCAAUUUGGGGGAACUUCUUGAAGGAAAGGAAUACCAAUUUAUAAAUAUAAAUUAGUCACAGGGUCCCAUGAAAGAGAAGGGCUUGGAAGCAUUAGAACAAGUCUGUUAGUUGCAUGUUAAUGCUCCCUGCUCCUUAUGAAGUUAGGUGAGAGCAUGUGAAUUGCUUUGGCCAAUGGGAUAUGAAUGAAAUUGAUGUGUGUCACCUCUGGGUGGAGUCUGAAGAGUUGUGAGUGAUUCUCCACUUUCCUUCCCAACACUGACUCCCACGGUCCCUGGAUUGACAAUGGAAGAGUGUGCCAAGAUGGAACCUCCUUUGCCCUGGAACUCUGAGCCUGUGAUAUCUAGAGCAACCCCUCUCUUCACCCUGCCCUGUGUCAACCAGCAUGAGACAUGGAGUAAGCUUUCCUAUCGCCAUGCCCUGUGGGAUUGAGAAGGAUCUAGCUGAAUGCCAUUGAGCCAAAGAAAGAAGAGGCAGUCACCGAACAAACCUUCCUGGAAAUAGAGAUCUCCCUGUAUCCAAAGACGGCAAUUCCCUGAUAACUCCCCAAUGAGGCCAAGGCGACAGUUGCAGAUCUGUGUGUGCAAGCUUGGGGGUCAGAUCCUAGCUGCAGCACGCAGCAGCUGUGUGACUUCAGGGGAGCCCUGCACCUCCCUGAUUCUCAUUCACAGUGAUGAGUAGUAGCCCCUUCUCCCAGGGAUUUGGGAGGAUGUGCAGACUGUGCCUGCGAACUUGCCUGGCAUGUGAGACAGAGUCUUACUCUGUCACCCAGACUAGAGUAGAAUGGAACAAUCACGGCUCACUGCAGCAUAGAACCCCCAGGGAAUAAGGGAUCAUCCUGCCUUGAUACACUUUUGGAAUCCAUUGUGAUGGGGUUACCUGGACUUGUAGGGCAAGCCACAAACCCACUGGCUGUUCAUGAGCUCUAUCAAGUUACCACUUACUGUUUUUUCUAAAAAAGACUUGACUUUAGAGAGCACUUUUAGGUUCACAGCAAAAUUGAAAGGAAGGUACAGAGGUUUCCCAGACAUAACCCAACCUCCCAUAUAACCUUAUUGCUUUUAAAAGCCAUCUUUAAAAUUUUUCUUUUCUCUGACCCUUCAACCCUUGCCAUUUUGAGGUCUCGCCCCCAGAAGGGAUUAUUAAAUCUGGUGCAUGUUUUCUUGGCUUUCCUUCCCCCCGAUGUGAUGUGGGAGCCGUCACAAGCACCGGACAGGCAUCGAUGGGGGUCGUUGAACAUGAGUGGCUAUGGAAGGUAUUGGAAAGACCCUCAGAGGUGGAAGGUUUUGUAACACUCAGGUAUGCUGAGUCUCUGUUUUUAAAGGGUAGUCUUUUGGAAAAUGAGUAAAUAUGCAAACAAACUUGUGUUAAAUCUGGGCUUUAUUAUGUGCCGGACCACUAGACUGUGUGUGUGUGUGUGUGUGUGUGUGUGUGCGUGCGCGUGUGUGUGUGUGUUUGUGUGUGUGUCUGUGUGUGUGUUUAGCCCGCAUUAUCUCAGUUAGCCAGUCUAAUCUCAGUAGCAGUCACAGUAGGGAUUUCUACCCUUCCUCAUGGGGCUGCUGGCCAGGAGGUGUCCCUCCCUGUCCCAAAACUUGCAGGUGCCCGAGCCUCCCAGGUGCCCAGGUCAGCCACCAGCACUGCCUUUCCCCAGUGAGGAAACUGAGGCUCUGUCAGGUUAACUCUCACAGCAUCCAGGAUUCACUAUAGCAGUGACCAGCCCAGGUUAGUUCAGGUCUCCUGACUCUUGGCCCCUCUGAUAUCCCAUGGGGAGAAGUUGGUGAAGACAAGGUGAGGCAAUGUAUCCUGCCUGGGAGGGGGUCUCCUGGGGCAGCUGUCUCACACAUGCCCUCUGCCUCCUGCCCUCCGCCCACUGCCUUGAAGCAUGUGAACCCCCGUUCCCUAGCUCUGGGUGGCACAUUUUACAUGGAGCCCAGCCUCCUGGCCCUUGGCUUUCACAUAGCUUCACAGGUUCCUGGGAGGUCCAGGGCAGGAGAGAGAGCCCAGCGCCUGGUACUGGACAAGCCGGGACUUCUCAAUCUGUGUCUGCUCCCCCACAUCCUCUCUAUCUGCCCCCUUUCUACUGCCAGCAACAACCAGAAAGCUCCCUCUUGCCUGGAAGCAGAAAGAAGAUUCCUCUGUGUACCCACUCAGCCGGGUCAGUGGGAUCCCCUCAAUUAAAGAAGAAGUCUUGAAGCUCUAGAAGAAUAAAAAUAUCCACACCAGCCAUAUUGGACCUUGCUCAUCUAUGCCCCAGCUCCACAGAGCAAGGCCAGAUGCCUAUUGGUUUAGACUCCCAUAGGUGCAUGGGGUGGUGUUGCUGAGAGGGAAAAGAAGUAGGGAGAAGAGCAGAGCAGUUUCCAUAAGCAGAAUUUGGGCUAGGCUUAAGCCACCACACCAAGGGGAAGAUGGGCCUUGAGGUGCCAGACAUUCUUUUUCCCCGUAUAUUGAGUUGUUAAACCUUUCUGUACCAGUGAAAUCUGACACUCUGGACACCUCAUGAAAUUGUUACAUAAAACUACGGUGAUGGGUUCUGUGAAUUAAAAAAAAAAAAGUACCCGUUUUCUUAAUAAUA